UACGAAGGGUGCAAGCGUUGCUCGGAAUUACUGGGCGUAAAGCGUACGCAGGCGGUCCAUCAAGUCAGGCGUGAAAGUCCGGGGCUCAACUCCGGGAGGUCGUCUGAAACUAUUGGACUUGAGUACGGGAGAGGGGUGUGGAAUUCCCAGUGUAGAAGUGAAAUUCGUAGAUAUUGGGAGGAACACCGGUGGCGAAGGCGACACCCUGGCCCGAAACUGACGCUCAUGUACGAAAGCGUGGGGAGCAAACAGG
rnacentral:rRNA from 1 species